UAGCUAUGUGUGGCAGGGAUAAACGCUGAAAGCAUCUAAGCGUGAAGCCCCCCUCAAGAUGAGAUUUCCCAUUUCUUCGGAAAGUAAGAUCCCUGAAAGAUGAUCAGGUAGAUAGGUUUGGAGUGGAAGUGUAGCGAUACAUGGAGCGGACAAAUACUAAUCGAUCGAGGACUUAACCAAAA
rnacentral:rRNA from 1 species